rnacentral:rRNA from 1 species
CAUUUGCCUUUUGCGAUACACUUUCAAAGAGUCAGGUUGUUUGGGAAUGCAGCCUAAAUUGGGUGGUAAAUCUCACCUAAAGCUAAAUAUUGGCGAGAAACCGAUAGCGAACAAGUACCGUGAGGGAAAGAUGAAAAGAACUUUGAAAAGAGAGUUAAACAGUAUGUGAAAUUGUUAAAAGGGAACCGUUUGGAGCCAGACUGGCUUGUCUGUAAUCAGUCUAAGUUUCGGCUUGGAUGCACUUGCAGGCUAUGCCUGCCAACGACAAUUUGGCUUGAGGGAAAAAACUAGGGGAAAUGUGGCCCAUUCGUGGGUGUUAUAGUCCCUUAGAAAAUACCUUGGGCUGGAUUGAGGUACGCAGCGAAUGCUAUUUGGCGAGUUGGCUGGGAAUAUUUUCUGAGGUGCUCUGGUACUGAGGUUGAUAUU